rnacentral:rRNA from 1 species
CCUACGGGCGGCUGCAGUGAGGAAUAUUGGUCAAUGGACGAGAGUCUGAACCAGCCAAGUAGCGUGAAGGAUGACUGCCCUAUGGGUUGUAAACUUCUUUUAUAUGGGAAUAAAAUGUUCCACGUGUGGGAUUUUGUAUGUACCAUAUGAAUAAGGAUCGGCUAACUCCGUGCCAGCAGCCGCGGUAAUACGGAGGAUCCGAGCGUUAUCCGGAUUUAUUGGGUUUAAAGGGAGCGUAGGUGGAUUGUUAAGUCAGUUGUGAAAGUUUGCGGCUCAACCGUAAAAGUGCAGUUGAAACUGGCAGUCUUGAGUACAGUAGAGGUGGGCGGAAUUCGUGGUGUAGCGGUGAAAUGCUUAGAUAUCACGAAGAACUCCGAUUGCGAAGGCAGUUCACUGGACUGCAACUGACACUGAGGCUCGAAAGUGUGGGUAUCAAACAGGAUUAGAUACCCUAGUAGUC